UGGCUGUUCGUCAGCUCCGUGUCGUGAGAUGUUGGGUUAAGUCCCGCAACGAGCGCAANCCCUUGUCCUUAGUUGCCAGCGAUUCGGUCGGGAACUCUAGGGAGACUGCCGGUGACAAACCGGAGGAAGGUGGGGACGACGUCAAGUCAUCAUGGCCCUUAUGGGCAGGGCUACACACGUGCUACAAUGGUGAAUACAGAGGGCUGCCAACCAGCAAUGGCGAGCCAAUCCCUUAAAGUUCAUCGUAGUCCGGAUCGGAGUCUGCAACUCGACUCCGUGAAGUCGGAAUCGCUAGUAAUCGCGAAUCAGAAUGUCGCGGUGAAUACGUUCCCGGGUCUUGUACACACCGCCCGUCACACCAUGGAAGUUGGUUGCACCAGAAGUAGGUAGCUUAACCCUCGGGAGGGCGCUUACCACGGUGUGGCUAAUGACUGGGGUGAAGUCGUAACAAGGUAACCGU
rnacentral:rRNA from 1 species